rnacentral:lncRNA from 1 species
GAGCAGACAUCUGAGGGAAGGGCCUCCCAAGCAGAGGGAGCAGCUUUGGAGAGGCCCAGAGGCCCUGCCUGCUGCUGUGGGCAGAAGGGCAGAAGGGCAGUGUCAGGAGGAUCCGCUGAGGAAUGCGGCCCUGUCGGGGGAGGGGGGCUGGGAAUGAAGGGAAUGCAGCCCUGCAGAUGCCUUGCUGUUUGCCCCGCGAGGCCCACGAGGCCCAUGUCAGGCUUCUGAUCUCUGGAACCGUCAGGGCAUGUUGAGUGCCAGGACAUCUUUCCAGAACUUUUGGUCCCAGAGAGAGAAUUCAAGAAGGUUCUGGGCCUUCUGGAAGCAGAGGGGCCCAGAUAGCCCUACUUUAGGCCAAGAAGCCGACUCUUGGGACCCUCAGUGUCCUCUUCCCAACCUGGGCAGCCGGAGGUUUCUAAGGGGGUCAUGUUGCCAGGACAGAAUCAAGUCCCUCAUCGGGCUCUCUGCUCAGCAAGGAGUCUGCUUCUCCCUCUCCCUUUGGCCCUCCUCCCUGCUUGCGCUCUCCCUCUGUCUCAAAUAAAUAAAUAAAAUCUUUUUUUAAAAA